CCUCCUCCUUUAUAUGGACCAGAGCAGCCACUUGAAUCUCCCUUAGGAGAUGUUCCCGUGUUGCUGUGAGGCUUUGCUCCUGUAUUUCUUUGCCACGAGUUGCCCUGGCCUGGUUUCACCCAGCUCCAGGCUCCCCGGUCCCCCUGGCAGAAAGGUCUCCUUCGCCAGCACCUCCUCGCUCUUCAGCUUCCGCGUCCUUCAGCUCCUGUCACAGCUGCAACAACUCUGCGUGGCUGGGAGACAACGAAAUCUUGUUCUGCCUCAGCGGGAAGUAGUGGGAAAGUCUGAUACCUUGUACAGCAUCCCCGUCAGCUGCAAGCAGGACACAGCCCUGGGAACACGGACAUCACCGUGCUAACCACGUGCGUUCACCUGUCCCCAGUGACACUGUCUCCAAAUUAUGGGAUUUCUAAAAAGCAGGAGAGGAGCCGUGUGUCCUAUCUCAUCCUUCCUAUCAUAUAGGAUCGUGCAAGUACUCAUAGCCGGACUGCGCGAAAUGCUGCGUAUUGUUCUGUAGGCAUUCUGCUACUCGCAGUGUAAAAGUGAUCCAAAAAUAUUAAUAGGUAUCUGUACUUGGGCAGUACAAAUCAGCUGACAGCGCUGCAGCGAGGUACUGUUUGUUAAUCGGUUGAUGCUUCUGUAACAAAUGUUAGGAAAAAAUGAUGGCUAGCCCUUGGAUUCGGAGCUGUGAUCCUUUAAAAAACAUCUCGGCUCCUGGAACUGCUGGAUGCUUUGUGAAGGAAUAGUUGCUAUGUACUUCCACUUGUGCAACUUGACAACUUUGCAACAAAAUACUUUUAAAGUGUGAUUGCUUUGUAUCACAGAUGUAUCCAUAGCCCUCUUGUGAAGCAAAGGAAAUAAUUUGAUAAAAUGCCAAAAUGCCAGAGCUUUCAAACAGAUUAGCGCUUACUGCUUCUGUUAGCACAGCAGCGUACGUACUUCUAGUUAAAUAUUAAAAGCAACUAGUAAGCAGUUGGCUACGGCAUCUUUCCAUGAAGUAUUUGUUAGUUUCUAAACGUGGCUGUUCAAGUAUUUAAUGCCUCUGCUCUAGACGCGGUUCAAAAUGCCAUUUACUUGCUGCGGCAUACGGCAGUGUCUUGUUUAUUUCGUAAACAGUGAUGAGAGUUAGCAAAGGAAGUCAGAAAGUUAUCCCUCAGAGGAUUCUUGCUUUGCUCUGGCAGCUGGUGCCAGGCUCUGGGCUCGGUGCAGGCAGGAGGGCAGCACGCAGCCCUCCCCCCGUGGCACGGCGCUGAUCGCCCGCUGCUGCCUCGCAGAACUCUCCGUGGCCAGGAGUUGAAUUUCUGCAAGGUCUCUGCUUAAUUCAGCCUCUUUCAUUUCAAGCAAACAAGCUGGAGUAAAUUAAAAUGUAAUACUUAGGACAUAAGAAAUGGAAGCUGUAGUAUUAUUAUAAUAUUUUGGCAUAAAUGGUAUUUUUCCUGGGGGGCGGGGGGAAGACAGGAAAAUAACUGUUGCAGCAGGGGCUGCAAAGCACCUUCACCCUGUUCCAGCAGGAUCCCCUGAGCAAAGAGAAGUCAGCAGAGCAUGAAGACAACCCCAGGUUGUCCCGUGUGACUGUUGAGCUCACGAGGGGGUCUGGUGCAGGCUCUGGAGCACAGUUAGUGCUGCGUGAGGAAGGCAAAUCCCACUUCACCAUGCCUGCUCUGCCACUUACUGACGGGAGAGUUUUGUUACCGGUACCAGUUCCUGAUUUUAUUUAUUUAUUUAUUCGUUUAUUUUAAAUAAAGUGACUGUAGGGCAUGCUUUGUUGUUACAGUAAGUGCUGUUCCUAAUAUAUGGACUGGGCACUUGUUGUCUUUGGAGGGAGAGAAAGAAUGCUGGAAGGAAUAUUUCUGUGAUAAAACACCAUGGUUUUAGUUUAGGUUUAGGUGAAAGGCCUAACUUGUGCAAAUCA